rnacentral:rRNA from 1 species
GCUUACGGCCAUACCACCCUGAAUGCGCCCGAUCUCGUCUGAUCUCGGAAGCUAAGCAGGGUCAGUCGUUGUUAGUACUUGGAUGGGUUACCGCCUGGGAAUCAGUAUUUCUCACUCC